AUACUUACCUGGCAGGGGAGAUACCAUGAUCAAGAAGGUGGUUUUUCCCAGUGCAAGCCUUAUUCAUUGCAUUCUGGAUGUGCUGACCCCUAUAAUUUCCCCAAAUGUGGGAAACUUGACUGCAUGAUUUGUGGUGGUGGGGGACUGUGUUCACACUCUCCCCUG